UCAUUGACAUAACCCUGAUUAUUAAACACCUUUAACCAAGUCUCAAACUGCACCCCAUCAUCACUUUUAUACAAGCG
rnacentral:tRNA from 1 species